rnacentral:sRNA from 1 species
GGCAGGUGGCAGUCCAGCAGCCAAGAGGGUAGUGGUGUACCGGAAUGGGGACCCAUUCUUCCCAGGCUCCCAGCUGGUGGUGACUCAACGCCGCUUCCCCACCAUGGAGGCCUUCCUCUGCGAGGUGACAUCAGCUGUGCAGGCCCCACUGGCUGUGCGUGCCCUCUACACACCUUGUCAUGGCCACCCUGUCACCAACCUGGCAGACUUGAAGAACAGAGGGCAGUAUGUGGCCGCUGGAUUUGAACGAUUCCACAAGCUCCACUAUUUACCCCAUAGAGGGAAGGACCCAGGUGGGAAGAGCUGCAGACUACAAGGUCCUCCCGUGACUCGCCACUUGUGUGAUGGGGCCAUUGGACGGCAGCUGCCUGCAGGUGCUCCCACCUAUAUCCAGUGAGUGCCAGUGUGAGGGAGCAGGGGUGUUUAUGUUUGUUUUAGUAAGGCCAAGAAAAUGGUGUUGGGUUUGUUCUAGGAGCCUCUGGUUACUGUUGGGAAUGUAGAAGUCCAGCAUGCUUGAUAGGUGAAGAGAGACCAGUGUUAUGGUUAUUGCUGGCCCUGUGCCACCCUUCCCCUCACAUGUAGGGACUCCUGGGGACACUCCCCCUUACCAGGCUUUUUGUCUCAGUGUGUUCAGGAAUGGGGACCUGGUAAGUCCCCCAUUUAGUCUGAAGCUGUCCCAGGCUGCCAGCCAGGACUGGGAAACUGUGUUGAAGCUCCUGACUGAGAAGGUCAAGUUGCAGAGUGGGGCUGUGUGCAAGUGAGUAUGGGGACUGCGAGGGCCCAAAAGUCCCCAAAGAGAGCCUCGCCACUGGCUUCAGCUGUGGCUGAGGAUGAAGAGGCAAAAGGAAAGCACGUUCCCCCACAUGGGACUUCCCCCUAUGCCACUGGGAGAGGGCCCUCUGCCCAGCCCUCAGAGGCAGGGUAGAGCCUGGGUGCCCAGAGGCCAGAGGGCACCUUGGAAUAGCUGCACCCACCCCUUCAGUCUGCUGAAUGUGAAGAAGCAUCGAGUCUACCAGCCCUUAUCCUCCUCACCUCUCUCUCCCAGACUCUGCACCCUAGAGGGGCUCCCACUGUCAGCAGGGGAGGAGCUGGUAACUGGCCAUUACUAUGUGGCUGUCGGAGAGGAUGAGUUCAAGGACCUUCCCUAUCUGGAGCUGCUGGUGCCCAGCCCCUCCCUGCCCAGGGGCUGCUGGCAACCUCCAGGCUCGAAGUCUAGGCCCCACAGGCAGGGGGCCCAAGGCCACAGGGCCCAGGUAACCCAGCCCUCUCCAAAGGAACCAGACCGAAUUAAGCCAUCUGCUUUCUAUGCCAGACCCCAGCAGACCAUUCAGCCAAGAAGCAAGCUCCCCACACUCUCAUUCCCAUCAGGAGUUAUAGGAGUAUACGGAGCUCCCCACCGAAGGAAGGAGACAGCGGGGGCCCUGGAAGUAGCAGAUGAUGAAGACACCCAGACAGAGGAGCCCUUGGAUCAGAGGGCAGCACAGAUAGUGGAAGAGGCCUUGUCCCUGGAAAACCAGCCUGGGGCUGGGGCUGCUAUCUCAGCCUCAGCCCCAGCUCUGCCAUCUUGAGAGCCAGCAGCUCCAGAGGGCAACUGGGGACCACUACUCUGGCCACCUUUCGUCCUUAGCCUCCAGCAGCUUGUUCCUCAGGAGCCAGCACCUCCGCUGGGCUCACAGGGUACGCUGCGGCCUCCUCAGCCCUCCCCGUUCUCCUGCUCCUAAACCCACAGCCCAGCCUUCCCUUCCUCUGAGCAGAGCAGCCCUGGCUGUGGGGACUAUUUCCUUAUGGGAUUCUCUGGCCAGAGAAAGGAGUAGCUGACUGAGCCUGGGAGACAGGCCACAAACGGGGGAGUGGGUUUGUCACAAUAAAAGAAUACUUACUAA